AAGUCGUAACAAGGUAACCGUAGGUGAACCUGCGGUUGGAUCAUUAAUGAUUUAGCUGAGAAAGGCAACUUUCGAAGCGUCUAAUGGUGAGUGAGCUUUUCGUAAGCUCCUCGCCAUGGAACACCUGUGCACCUUAUGUUUUUUGGGUUGCUUUGUCCAACCUAGUUGAACGGGCAGCCCAAACAUGAAAAAACACCUAGAACCAGUCUGAUUACGAAUUAAAAGUAAAACAACUUUUGACAACGGAUCUCUUGGCUCUCA
rnacentral:misc_RNA from 1 species